rnacentral:rRNA from 1 species
CGUGCUUAACACAUGCAAGUCGAACGAAGCAUUUUACGACAGAUUUCUUCGGAUUGAAGUUGUUUAUGACUGAGUGGCGGACGGGUGAGUAACGCGUGGGUAACCUGCCUUGUACUGGGGGGAUAGCAGCUGGAAACGGCUGGUAAUACCGCAUAAGCGCACAAUGUUGCAUGACAUAGUGUGAAAAACUCCGGUGGUAUAAGAUGGACCCGCGUCUGAUUAACUUGUUGGUGAGGUUAAACGGGCCCCACCAAGGCGACGAUCAGUAGCCGGCCUGAGAGGGUGAACGGCCACAUUGGGACUGAGACACGGCCCAAAACUCCUACGGGAGGCAGCAGUGGGGAAUAUUGCACAAUGGGGGAAACCCUGAUGCAGCGACGCCGCGUGAGUGAUGAAGUAUUUCGGUAUGUAAAACUCUAUCAGCAGGGAAGAUAAUGACGGUACCUGACUAAGAAGCACCGGCUAAAUACGUG